GAUUCUGGCUCAGGACGAACGCUGGCGGCGUGCCUAACACAUGCAAGUCGAGCGGAGACAGUGAGUAGCUUGCUAUGAACUGUUUUAGCGGCGGACGGGUGAGUAACGCGUGAGCAACCUUUCCCAGACAGGGGAAUAACACACCGAAAGGUGUACUAAUACCGCAUAAGACCACGGUUUCACAUGGAACUGAGGUAAAAGAUUUAUCGGUUUGGGGUGGGCUCGCGUCCGAUUAGGUAGUUGGUGAGGUAACGGCCC
rnacentral:rRNA from 1 species